rnacentral:rRNA from 1 species
GUGGGGAAUCUUAGACAAUGGGCGCAAGCCUGAUCUAGCCAUGCCGCGUGAGCGAUGAAGGCCUUAGGGUUGUAAAGCUCUUUCAGUGGGGAAGAUAAUGACUGUACCCACAGAGGAAGCCCCGGCUAACUCCGUGCCAGCAGCCGCGGUAAUACGGAGGGGGCUAGCGUUGUUCGGAAUUACUGGGCGUAAAGCGCACGUAGGCGGACUGGAAAGUCAGGGGUGAAAUCCCGGGGCUCAACCCAGGAACUGCCUGUGAAACGACCAGUCUUGAGGUCGAGAGAGGUGAGUGGAAUGCCGAGGGUAGAGGUGAAAUUCGUAGAUAUUCGGAGGAACACCAGUGGCGAAGGCGGCUCACUGGCUCGAUACUGACGCUGAGGUGCGAAAGCGUGGGGAGCAAACAGGAUUAGAUACCCGUGUAGUCC